rnacentral:lncRNA from 1 species
CAACCUUCACUACUCAUGAAUAUAAACUUGUAACGAUUAAGUGAAACUCAUUUAUAUUCUAGCAUCUAAUACAUGCAUGAAAAUUAAGUAUGCAUCCUUAAUAAACAUACAAGAAUCAGUUAUGAAUAAAAUAGAUAAUUGAAUUGCAAUCACAAUUUAUCAAAUCACAAUUGGAAGAAAUCAAUUCAAAUCUCAAGCAUGUUCAUGG